rnacentral:ncRNA from 1 species
AUGUCCAAAGCGCCGGGAGGAUAUCUGGUCGGCAGAAGGAUGGUCCUGUCUGGACGGGCAUAGGAAUAAUCCCGGCUGAGAUAAAGAAUGUAGCGCUUCUUUGACUCUUAUACCUGAUCUGGAUAAUGCCAGCGUAGGAACUUAGAGAUAACUUAUG